rnacentral:rRNA from 1 species
CCUACGGGGGGCAGCAGUGAGGAAUAUUGGUCAAUGGCCGGAAGGCUGAACCAGCCAUGCCGCGUGAAGGUCAGUGCCCUAUGGGCGUUAAACUUCUUUUGUGCGGGAGCAAUAAUGGUCACGUGUGGCCAGACGAGAGUACCGUACGAAUAAGCAUUGGCUAACUCCGUGCCAGCAGCCGCGGUAAUACGGGGGAUGCAAGCGUUAUCCGGAUUUAUUGGGUUUAAAGGGUGCGUAGGCUGUGAGGUAAGUCAGCGGUGAAAUGCCCCCGCUCAACGGGGUGAAGUGCCAUUGAUACUGCCUGGCUGGAAUGCGGAUGCCGUGGGAGGAAUGUGUGGUGUAGCGGUGAAAUGCAUAGAUAUCACACAGAACACCGAUUGCGAAGGCAUCUCACGAAUCCGCGAUUGACGCUGAUGCACGAAAGCGUGGGUAUCAAACAGGAUUAGAUACCCGUGUAGUC